GCUAUAGCUGCAGGUCAGAGAGGAAGGUUGAGUCAAUGGUAUUUAAAGGCACAUUUACAUGUGCGUCGGGAGAGGGAAGGAGGGCCGUGGUGGAACACUCAGGGUGGAUGGUGUUGUAACAAGUUAAUAUGGAGGAUCCAGGUGAGUGGGCUGGGGUCUGCCUGUCUGAAGAGGAGUGGGAGGGGAAGAGGGCACUGCCAGCUCUGGUGUACAUAUCCAGGUGAAGGCGACUUAAUUUCUUGAAGACCCCAUCUCUCGGUUCUGUUACACUGGUCAAGUGCAUUUGGAGGGAUAUUCAGACCCCAGCACCACAGCCUCUGUAGCCACGUCAUACUUCACUGUGUGGCUGAGUCAAACUUUAUUUUAACUCCUUAUCUUUGACUGGGCUAUUAUUCUCCCAGUACAAUCACUCUUACGUUAAUCUACCAGAUAUACCUGUGGGUGACAUUUCAGCCCCAGGUCUCAGAGUCUUUUUUCUCCCGUGGGCUGUGACUUUAAACAAAAGCUUAAGUUAAGAUCUCUUUGUUUUUUUUUUUUAAAAAAUGUCUUUUAAUUACAUUUAUUUGGGGGAAGGUGCCCGUGACACAUGUGUGGGGGUCAGAGGACAGCUCUCAAGAGUUGGUUCUCUCCUACCGCCAUGUGGGUCCUGGUGACAGAACUUAGGUCACCACUUAGUGGCAAUCGAUCUUACCCACUGACCAUCUAUCUCACGGGCUCAAGAGGGAGCUUGCUAUCUUUAAGCUUCUGUUUUCUCACCUACACACGGAAGAUGAAGGAAGGAUGCGUCACAGGCUGUCACAGGAUGUCUGAGAAAUCUCCAGUGAGUGGGCAGUCACCAAAACCGAACAAACUGGGCAAAGUCGCCUAAGAUAACACAGCUGACUGGAAACCAGCCCUGAUCUGCAGAGCCCAGGCUGUCAGCCCCAGCUGUGGGAUGACACCCUGUGUCCCUGGUCCCUCUCACAUUCAGCCAAUAAGAAAGGUGGCAGGAUGCUGAAGGAGAAGCGGUCAUGUUGGUGGAAAGAGCUGGGAUGAGAUGUUCCAGGCCGACAGGCAGGAAGUGAGCAGAGAAGCCUUUGGAGGUCUGAGUGCCCAGCAAAUACCCACGGGGCUGCUUGGCCUCUACCAUCCAAAACACUUAAGACGCGGUGUGCGUCUCGGUGCGCAUGCGCAUCAGAGCCGACGGGGCUGAGACAGAUGAGCUGAAAGAGUAUACAAGAGAGAAUGAUGUCAUGCCACACGAAUGCCAAAGUCGCCCUUUGGAGAGGCAACACCAAACACGGGCAGCCUGCCCAAGCAGAGUUUGCUCGGGCAAACACUCAGCCCUGUUGCUGAACUUGUCUUCUGAGUCGCUGCUUCCUGCGUAGGUUUCAUGGAGGUUUUGACCUGGGCAUUCAAUUUCUUUGAAGUUUUCAACUUCAAAGCUGUGUGGGAGGCCGCAGAAGAUGGCCACGCUAGAGCGCCUCUCUGGUGGGGGACAGUUACCCAAACACUCAACUCCACAGACAGUACUAAUGCGAGCCUAGAUUUUUAUUAUUAUUAUGUUUGGCUCUGAUAUACACUUCCUGGUAGGAUUUUCGCCAAUUUCCUCGUGUCUGCUUCUCAGGUGAGGCGGCAAACAGCGAGUCUCGGUUCUCCACAUGGGACUCCAGCCCUUCCGUCUGCACACGGCACAACUGACCCCUCUGUAACGGGCCUUGCUCUGAGCUGCUUGUCUGGGUGGGUUGUCCUUUUCCUGCUAACUCAAAAAUUCUUCUCUGGUUCCACUUGGCCUUGGGACAGUGAUGUACUAUCGGUAGAUGUGGGGGUGAGAAAGGCACCAUUUUAAAACUGUGAUUAGACUCGGCAGAGGCUGCGUGUUCAGGAAGUCUUAUCGUGACCCUAUGUGGUGACAUUCACAGACUCCACACGCACAAGUGAGGGAAACCACUUCUCCUACGUGAAGGUCUUUGAUAUCUCUGUGGGUGGUCUUUAAGGACAUGGUGCACCACAGAGGGGGCGGGUGUUAAAUGUACUGCACGGACUCUUUUUGCUAAGCAAAUAGAAAUCAAAUGUCACUGGGACAGUUCUAGGCCAUUUGAAACCCCCAUCCCCGCCAAGCCCCAGAGGCCCAGAGACUUAGAGCGACAAAAGAUGGCAGUCUCAAAGGAAGCGAGCGGGGCCACAGACCCUCAGAACGUAGUAAAGGCAGAGACCCAUGCUUGUGGUUGCUUAGAAAUAUGCUGGUUGCCACGCCCCCCAUGGUUUCUACAGCCUGCCAAAGGAAUAUUAAGAUUAUUAAGUCUCUGACGGUGCUGGAAAGCUGGCUUAGUGCCUAAGAGUGUUUGCUGCUUAUCCAAAGGACCAGAAUACAGUUCCUAGGACCCAUAUUAGGUGUCUCACAACCACCGGCAGCUCCGACUCUAGAGGAGCUGACCUCUCCUGUCACCUUCGUGGGCAUCCACAUCUAAGGACGUGACAGUUUUUUCCCUCACCUAGGAGUGAGAGGGCAGUCAGGUGCUACACUGCCAGAGAAGUAAGGAGUGCUGACUAAACCCUUGGGGUUCAAAAACCAAACAAACAGGGUUCACCUCUGUGGCAGAGUGCAGGUAUGGCAUUGGCAAGGCCCUGGACAGGACAUCCAGCACCCUUAAAACAAACAAAGAGCGAUGGCUGACUUAUCUAAAGCUAAUCUGAUAACAUUAAUCAAGGCAAGCCUGGGAUAAAGAGAGCUCUCAGAGGCCACAGCCCUAAGCUACUUGGGAAUUUAACAGAAUUAAGGUGGGGUCCCUGGUAAUGGAACCUCCCUUAGACUCAGCCUCUCUGUAAGUUCCUGAACAUAUAGUCAGAUGACCCUAACA